UACGUAGGGUGCGAGCGUUGUCCGGAAUUAUUGGGCGUAAAGAGCUCGUAGGCGGUUUGUCGCGUCGGCCGUGAAAACUUGGGGCUUAACCCCGAGCCUGCGGUCGAUACGGGCAGACUAGAGUGCUGUAGGGGAGACUGGAAUUCCUGGUGUAGCGGUGAAAUGCGCAGAUAUCAGGAGGAACACCGGUGGCGAAGGCGGGUCUCUGGGCAGUAACUGACGCUGAGGAGCGAAAGCGUGGGGAGCGAACAGG
rnacentral:rRNA from 1 species